GACGAACGCUGGCGGCGUGGAUUAGGCAUGCAAGUCGAACGGUAUCAUCCUUUCGGGGGUGAGAGAGUGGCGAACUGGUGAGUAACACGUAGGUUAUCUACCCUCAAGACGGGGACAACCCAGGGAAACUUGGGCUAAUACCGGAUGUGAGCAACUUUUAGUUGUUUGAAGGGUGGCGUAAGCUGUCGCUUGGGGAUGAGCCUGCGUCCUAUUAGUUAGUUGGUGAGGUAACGGCUCACCUAGGCAAUGAUAGGUAGGCGGCCUUAACGGGUGGUCGCCCACACUGGGAUUGAGAUACGGCCCAGACUCCUACGGGAGGCAGCAGUCGAGAAUAGUCUACAAUGGUCGGAAGACUGAUAGUGCGACGCCGCGUGAACGAUGAAUCCCUUCGGGGUGUAAAGUUCUUUUAUAUGUGAGCAGUGCUUCUUAUAUUAACAGUAUGGGGAGAGAGAUAUUAGCAUAUGAAUAAGCAACGGCUAACUCCGUGCCAGCAGCCGCGGUAAACUCGU
rnacentral:rRNA from 1 species